rnacentral:rRNA from 1 species
UUACCUUGAUUCCUUCGGGUUGAUUGGUACUGUGACUGAGUGGCGGACGGGUGAGUAACGCGUGGGUAACCUGCCCCAUACAGGGGGAUAACAGAUAGAAAUGUCUGCUAAUACCGCAUAAGACCACAGCACCGCAUGGUGCAGGGGCAAAAACUCCGGUGGUAUGGGAUGGACCCGCGUCUGAUUAGCUGGUUGGCGGGGUAACGGCCCACCAAGGCAACGAUCAGUAGCCGACCUGAGAGGGUGACCGGCCACAUUGGGACUGAGACACGGCCCAAACUCCUACGGGAGGCAGCAGUGGGGAAUAUUGCACAAUGGGGGAAACCCUGAUGCAGCGACGCCGCGUGAAGGAUGAAGUAUUUCGGUAUGUAAACUUCUAUCAGCAGGGAAGAAAAUGACGGUACCUGACUAAGAAGCCCCGGCUAACUACGUGCCAGCAGCCGCGGUAAUACGUAGGGGGCAAGCGUUAUCCGGAUUUACUGGGUGUAAAGGGAGCGUAGACGGCAUGGCAAGUCUGAUGUGAAAACCCGGGGCUCAACCGCGGGACUGCAUUGGAAACUGUCGGGCUAGAGUGUCGGAGAGGCAAGUGGAAUUCCUAGUGUAGCGGUGAAAUGCGUAGAUAUUAGGAGGAACACCAGUGGCGAAGGCGGCUUGCUGGACGAUGACUGACGUUGAGGCUCGAAAGCGUGGGGAGCAAACAGGAUUAGAUACCCUGGUAGUCCACGCCGUAA